AUACAUACCUGGGAGUGGUGAGACCUUGAUCAUGAAAGAUGUUUACCCAUAGUGCGGUUCUGCCAUUGCACCCUGGCUGUGCUGACCAUUGCAAAUUCCCCAAAUGUUGGAUUCUCGGCUGCAUAAUUUGUGGUAGUGGAUACCUCGUAUGUGCUCUCCC
ensembl:snRNA U1 U1 spliceosomal RNA